rnacentral:rRNA from 1 species
GAUGAACGCUGGCGGCGUGCCUAACACAUGCAAGUCGAGCGAACAGACGAGGAGCUUUUUCCUUUGCCGUUAGCGGCGGACGGGCGAGUAACACGUGCAUCACCUACUUAUUAUUCUGGGAUAACUUCGGGAAACCGCAGAUACUAACGCCGAAUAUAUUCUACCGCAUGGUUCAAUAGUGCUACACGCCUUUCCCGUUUGUUUUAGACGGUUCCGCGUCGCAUUAGCUAGUUGGUAAGGUAACGGCUUACCAAGGCGACGAUGCGUAGCUGACCUGAGAGGAUGAUCAGCCACACUGGAACUGAGACACGGUCCAGACUCCUACGGGAGGCAGCAGUGGGGAAUCUUCCGCAAUGGGCGAAAGCCUGACGGAGCAACGCCGCGUGAGUGAUGAAGGUCUUCGGAUCGUAAAGCUCUGUUAUUAGGGAAGAACAGAUGUGUAAGUAACUAUGCACGUCUUGACGGUACCUAAUGAGUAAGCCACGGCUAACUACGUG